rnacentral:tRNA from 1 species
CGGGAAUCGACGGCGCGGUGGUCGGUGUGCUGGCGGCGCAUCGAGAUCCGGCCGAACCGUUCGGGUCGGAUGAUCUCGC